CCAGAGAACUUAGCAGAGAUGCUUUGGUGCCUUCGGGAACUCUGAGACAGGUGCUGCAUGGCUGUCGUCAGCUCGUGUUGUGAAAUGUUGGGUUAAGUCCCGCAACGAGCGCAACCCUUAUCCUUUGUUGCCAGCGGCUCGGCCGGGAACUCAAAGGAGACUGCCGGUGAUAAACCGGAGGAAGGUGGGGAUGACGUCAAGUCAUCAUGGCCCUUACGGCCAGGGCUACACACGUGCUACAAUGGCGCAUACAAAGAGAAGCGACCUCGCGAGAGCAAGCGGACCUCACAAAGUGCGUCGUAGUCCGGAUUGGAGUCUGCAACUCGACUCCAUGAAGUCGGAAUCGCUAGUAAUCGUAGAUCAGAAUGCUACGGUGAAUACGUUCCCGGGCCUUGUACACACCGCCCGUCACACCAUGGGAGUGGGUUGCAAAAGAAGUAGGUAGCUUAACCUUCGGGAAGGCGCUUACCACUUUGUGAUUCAUGACUGGGGUGAAGUCGUAACAAGGUAGGCGUAGCGAG
rnacentral:rRNA from 1 species